GACGAACGCUGGCGGCGUGCUUAACACAUGCAAGUCGAACGGAAAGGCCCUGCUUUUGUGGGGUGCUCGAGUGGCGAACGGGUGAGUAACACGUGAGUAACCUGCCCUUGACUUUGGGAUAACUUCAGGAAACUGGGGCUAAUACCGGAUAGGAGCUCCUGCUGCAUGGUGGGGGUUGGAAAGUUUCGGCGGUUGGGGAUGGACUCGCGGCUUAUCAGCUUGUUGGUGGGGUAGUGGCUUACCAAGGCUUUGACGGGUAGCCGGCCUGAGAGGGUGACCGGCCACAUUGGGACUGAGAUACGGCCCAGACUCCUACGGGAGGCAGCAGUGGGGAAUAGUGCACAAUGGGCGGAAGCCUGAUGCAGCAACGCCGCGUGCGGGAUGACGGCCUUCGGGUUGUAAACCGCUUUCGCCUGUGACGAAGCGUGAGUGACGGUAAUGGGUAAAGGAGCACCGGCUAACUACGUG
rnacentral:rRNA from 1 species